UACAUUUCUGUACAAACUUGCGAGUACACACUAGGUUUCUCUUCAAGCAGGGGAACUUUGGGGUUGUGGAGGAGAAAGAGGCAGAUGUUACCGCUUGUCUCCUUUGUUACUCCAGUCUGUUCAGAUUCCCAUGAGAACAAGAAUCCUUCUCAUUAAACAAUCAAACGCUACCAUUAUUCGUGCAAUAGAACAUAGAACCUAUUUCAUCACCUUCCCAUAAAUGAUUUCAAUCUUUCAAAUACCUGGGACCAAUUCAGUUAAAAAGGGCACAAAUAAAAGGGCCUAAUGAAGAGUGAUCCUUCUUGUCUGCCUGAUUUUUACCAUCUUUCAAAUCACCUGGAAGAAAGAAAUAUGACAAGCAGUAUACGUAUACAGCUGAGGGGUAUGUUCCCUAGAAGACACAAACCCUUGCUGUCACUGCUGAGUGAGAGAAUUACAACUAAAAAGUGAAAGGAGGCUCUUGCAGAAGAAGAUGGAGAGACAAAUUCUCAUCAGACCACAGGACCACAGAAGACCCGCAUGACAUCCCCAAGUUUCCUCUCAUCCUUCUGCAGUGCUCCAACGAUGGGGGUCAAAUACCUCCGUCACUGUGGCACAGUACUUGGCACACAACAUACACUCAUAAAGUAUUUUCUG